AUUGAACGCUAGCGGGAUGCCUUACACAUGCAAGUCGAACGGAGUGGCGAACGGGUGAGUAUUGUAUCGGUACGUGCCCAGUAGCGGGGGAUAACUACGCGAAAGCGUAGCUAAUACCGCAUACUAUUGGAGCGGCCGAUAUCGGAAUAGCUAGUUGGUGGGGUUACGGCUCACCAAGGCGAAGAUCCGUAGCCGGUUUGAGAGGACGACCAGCCAAAGUGGGAAUGAGACACGGACCAGACUCCUACGGGAGGCAGCAGGGGGUAAUUUUGGACAAUGGGGGAAACCCGGAUCCAGCCAGCCCGCGUGUGCGAUGAAGGCCGUCGGGUUGUAAAGCACUUUUGGCAGAGAAGCGGUACCUGCAGAAUAAGCACCGGCUAACUACGUGCGAGCAGCCGCGGUAAGAC
rnacentral:rRNA from 1 species